ACGGGUGAGUAAUGUCUGGGGAUCUGCCCGAUAGAGGGGGAUAACCACUGGAAACGGUGGCUAAUACCGCAUAACGUCGCAAGACCAAAGAGGGGGACCUUCGGGCCUCUCACUAUCGGAUGAACCCAGAUGGGAUUAGCUAGUAGGCGGGGUAACGGCCCACCUAGGCGACGAUCCCUAGCUGGUCUGAGAGGAUGACCAGCCACACUGGAACUGAGACACGGUCCAGACUCCUACGGGAGGCAGCAGUGGGGAAUAUUGCACAAUGGGCGCAAGCCUGAUGCAGCCAUGCCGCGUGUAUGAAGAAGGCCUUCGGGUUGUAAAGUACUUUCAGCGGGGAGGAAGGCGAUGUGGUUAAUAACCUUGUCGAUUGACGUUACCCGCAGAAGAAGCACCGGCUAACUCCGUGCCAGCAGCCGCGGUAAUACGGAGGGUGCAAGCGUUAAUCGGAAUUACUGGGCGUAAAGCGCACGCAGGCGGUCUGUUAAGUCAGAUGUGAAAUCCCCGGGCUUAACCUGGGAACUGCAUUUGAAACUGGCAGGCUUGAGUCUCGUAGAGGGGGGUAGAAUUCCAGGU
rnacentral:rRNA from 1 species